rnacentral:rRNA from 1 species
UGCGUAGGCGGAUUUAUAAGUCAGUGGUGAAAUCCUACAGCUUAACUGUAGAACUGCCAUUGAUACUGUAGAUCUUGAGUACGGUUGAGGUGGGCGGAAUGUGUCAUGUAGCGGUGAAAUGCUUAGAUAUGACACAGAACACCAAUUGCGAAGGCAGCUCGCUAAACCGUAACUGACGCUGAGGCACGAAAGCGUGGGGAGCGAACAGGAUUAGAUACCCUCGUAGUCC